ACGGGGUGCAGCAGGCGCGAAAACUUUACCAUGCGGGCAACCGUGAUAAGGAAACCCCGAGUGCCAGCACAGGCUGGCUGUCCACCAGUGUAAAUAACUGGUGAAGAAAGGGCCGGGCAAGACCGGUGCCAGCCGCCGCGGUAAUACCGGCGGCUCGAGUGGUGGCCACUAUUACUGGGCUUAAAGGGUCCGUAGCUAGGUUGUUAAGUUUCUUGGGAAAUCUACCGGCUUAACCGAUAGGCGUCCAAGGGAUACUGGCAAUCUAGGGACCGGGAGAGGUGAGGGGUACUUCAGGGGUAGGAGUGAAAUCCUGUAAUCCUUGGGGGACCACCUGUGGCGAAGGCGCCUCACCAGAACGGCUCCGACAGUGAGGGACGAAAGCUGAGGGAGCAAACCGGAUUAGAUACCCGGGUAGUCCCAGCCGUAAACGAUACUCGCUAGGUGUCGGCCACGGUGCGACCGUUGUCGGUGCCGUAGGGAAGCCGUGAAGCGAGCCACCUGGGAAGUACGGCCGCAAGGCUGAAACUUAAAGGAAUUGGCGGGGGAGCAC
rnacentral:rRNA from 1 species